rnacentral:rRNA from 1 species
UACGUAGGGGUCUAGCGUUGUCCGGAAUCAUUGGGCGUAAAGAGCUCGUAGGCGGUUCGGCAAGACGGAUGUGAAAUCUCCACGCUCAACGUGGAGGGGCCAUUCGAAACUGCCGUGACUCGAGUCCGGUAGGGGAGUGCGGAAUUCCCGGUGUAGUGGUGAUAUGCGUAGAUAUCGGGAGGAACACCUGUGGCGAAGGCGGCUUUCUGGGCCUUACCUGACGCUGAGACGCGAAAGCGUGGGGAGCGAACCGG